GUGUGUCUCAUCAAUGUCGAACCAUUUGUCCCUAACCCUGCGUGAAGAUUCUUGUUUCAAAAUGCGAGGAUCAACAACGCCAACCCACGCUGCGAAUUGCACGACAACCCAAGAGAAAGAGGACGCGUGAAAGAUAAAGAAAAGAGAACGCCAUACCCGACGGCCUUCCGCGGUGGGAAAAGGUUGACAUCGCCUCCGCCGUGAAUCACGGAGAUCGACCGGGGUGACGGGCUUUGUUGUUAUCGCUUGAGUUCCGUUUCGUCCCUGUUCCUCUCUUCGCUAGCCGCUUACUCAUCCAUAGAACUCACAAUAAGCGCCGCCGUUGGCCGGAGAAAACGGGCGGAGCGGAAAAGGCAUGAAGAAGAAGAAAAAGAAUCGGGGUCAAUCUUGAAAGAUGAUUUGUUUGUGUCUAACUAGAAGCCCUAAUCGUUCAAAUCGAAUUGUGAUAAGAACAGAGGAUUUGAAGCAUAAGAUUUCGAAAUUUGAAUCGACUGAGAUCGAUUUUAGAUUCUUU
rnacentral:lncRNA from 1 species